UUUGAGACGGUGUCUUGCUCUGUCGCCACGCUGGAGUGCAGUGGUGCGAUCUCGGCUCACUGCAACCUCCGCCUUCCAGGUUCAAGCGAUUCUUCUGCCUCAGCCUCCUGAGUAGCUGGGACUACAGGUGCGUGCCACCACACCCAGCUAAUUUUUUUGUAUUUUUAGUAGAGACGGGGUUUCACAGUGUUGGCCAGGAUGGUCUUGAUCUCUUGACCUCGUGAUCUGCCCGCCUUGGCCUCCGAAAGUGCUGGGAUUACAGGUGUGAGCCACUGCUCCCGGCCUUCCUCUGCCUUCUUGGAGGGAUUAGGUGUUUGUAUUUUCAUGGCACGCUGUGCAUACUUCUGCCAUGGAAUUUAUCUCGCUGUGUUACCCCCCUCCUCUGUCUGGCUUACUCUAAUUUCUGGGAGGACUAGGAUUUUGUCUUGCAGCUCCUUGUUCUUCACACCAGGCAAGCGUUGUCUCCUUAUGAAUGACUCCAGUGUCUUUUGACUAAAGAUAAACAUUGAAAUUGCGUGACUAGCCCAAGGAUACUCAGCGAGUUGGUGAUACAAGUGAAGCUGCUCUCAGGGGAGAACCCAGAAU
rnacentral:sRNA from 1 species